AUGUCAAGGGCCUCAGCCGGAGUAGCCCAUCACCAUCACAUCGCUCUUGUCGAAGUUGAUCUUAAGACCAGACAUUUGUUGGAAGCAGAGGAGGAGGAAUUUAAGGCUCUUGUAUCCGAGCCUGCGACCAUGAUGAUGGUGUCGUCAGCGUACUGGAGCAGGGAGAUGCCAACGCCCCCAGUUAAGUGGGGGGUGAUCCCACUAAUAUGGCCCGCGGUCUUAGCCUUGUCCAGAAUGGCCGCAAGAGCAUCGACCACCAUAUUAAACAGGAACGGGGAGAAUGGAUCACCCUGCCUCACCCCGCAGAAAGUGGGGAAGUAG
rnacentral:rRNA from 1 species